GUUUCCUGCUGUCUUCAGCCCUUUUCAAAAGCUUGUCCUAUAAUACUUUGUGCUGGGCAAGAGGGAUCUAAGGUGAAGAAGAAAGACUGCCUUCUUGGCCCGGCGCGGUGGCUCACGCCUGUAAUCGCAACACUUUGGGAAGCCGACGUGGGUGGAUCAUGAGGUCAGGAGUUUGAGACCAGCCUGGCCAAUAUGGUGAAACCCCGUCUCUACUAAAAAUAUAAAAUUGGCCGGGCGCGGUGGCUCACUCCUGUAAUCCCAGCACUUUGGGAGGCAGAGGUGGGUGGAUCACCUGAGGUCAAGAGUUCGAGACCUGCCUGGAAGAAGGAGAAAGGGCCAACCCCUGAAGAAGCAAUACAGAAACUGAAGGAGACAGAGAAGAUACUGAUCAAGAAACAGGAAUUUUUGGAGCAGAAGAUUCAACAGGAGCUACAAACAGCCAAGAAGUAUGGGACCAAGAAUAAGAGAGCUGCCCUACAGGCUUUGCGGAGGAAGAAAAGAUUCGAACAGCAGCUGGCACAAACUGAUGGGACAUUAUCCACCCUGGAGUUU
rnacentral:sRNA from 1 species